rnacentral:rRNA from 1 species
GACGAACGCUGGCGGCGUGCCUAAUACAUGCAAGUAGAACGCACAGUUUAUACCGUAGCUUGCUACACCAUAAACUGUGAGUUGCGAACGGGUGAGUAACGCGUAGGUAACCUGCCUGGUAGCGGGGGAUAACUAUUGGAAACGAUAGCUAAUACCGCAUAAUAUUGAUUAUUGCAUGAUAAUUGAUUGAAAGAUGCUAUUGCAUCACUACCAGAUGGACCUGCGUUGUAUUAGCUAGUAGGUGAGGUAACGGCUCACCUAGGCGACGAUACAUAGCCGACCUGAGAGGGUGAUCGGCCACACUGGGACUGAGACACGGCCCAGACUCCUACGGGAGGCAGCAGUAGGGAAUCUUCGGCAAUGGACGAAAGUCUGACCGAGCAACGCCGCGUGAGUGAAGAAGGUUUUCGGAUCGUAAAGCUCUGUUGUAAGAGAAGAACGGGUGUGAGAGUGGAAAGUUCACACUGUGACGGUAUCGUACCAGAAAGGGACGGCUAACUACGU